UACGUAGGUGGCAAGCGUUGUUCGGAAUUACUGGGCGUAAAGCGUGUGUAGGCGGUUGGGUAAGUCUGGUGUGAAAUCUCCCGGCUCAACUGGGAGGGUGCGCCGGAAACUGCCUGGCUAGAGUGCGGAAGAGGAGAGUGGAAUUCCCGGUGUAGCGGUGAAAUGCGUAGAUAUGGGGAGGAACACCGGUGGCGAAGGCGGCCAUCUGGACGGUAACUGACGCUGAGACGCGAAAGCGUGGGGAGCAAACAGGG
rnacentral:rRNA from 1 species